GCUCUUGCUCCACCUUCACCAGCUGCGUGUACGGGCGCACAUGGGUAUCUCUGCGGGCAUAUACUGGCCUGUCCGAUCUGCUUGGUCCAGCAUCCCAGGAGUGUAGCCAUCCUCUCGUCGGCGAGUUUCUGUAUCCGUAUGCUGCGCGAUUUUUAUCUCAUAGUAGAGACCCGAAGAAAUGGAGAUCGGUCUUGGGUCACAAUCGCGUGACCUAAUUGUAAAGAAGUCUUUUUGGAGAUGACUGCUAAGAAGACACGCAGGUUCCGGGAUCGGGAGAUGGCAGAGUACCACCGGUUUCUGUGUACAAUUACAAAAUUACGUGUCCUGACCGGACGCAUGGAAGCGAGAUUUUUUGGAACUGGUUACGGUGGCACCACGCGCGUUGAGCUUCUCUCAUCGACGGUGAAAGUUGCCCGGCGUGAAAGUGUGCCUUUCUUCUUCCGUUCACUGAUUCAUGUCGCCCAAUACCUGGCAUAGAGGAGAGAGAUACGAGGACGAGGACAAUUAUUUAUUUCUCAACAACUCGCGAGGAACGCGGAACCGGACGACAGAGAUGCAUCCGAUCGCGUCCAUACUCUCGCGCGCGAAAAUUCCAUUUUCUCGGAUUCGCAGAAAGGAAAAUCUCAACUUACUCAGGAUCACUGACGAAGACAUCUCCGUUCGAAAGGAAGAGGGAAAAUAAAGGCUUAUCCCGCGGACAUCCCCAGCGUUUUGUUUGUCACAACGUCGCGGACGGCACCCGUGACACCAGGGGCACGAGAGACGCGGCGCCGAACUAUUUUAGCUAAGAAUUGUCGCGCGAGAGCGCCGGCGAGUUAUGCAUGGUGCGUCGAGAGCGGCGAGAGAAACAGAAAGAGAGAGAAAGAGAACGAGAGUGACAAUUGUGGCGGGGAGAGGGCACGACACCGGCAGCAAAAGAAAAAAGAAAAAAGAAAAAAAAAGAAAGGAGAAAAGAAAGAAGAGAUCGGUAAAAGAAGGAAGCAAUCGCGGUUGCACAGGACAGACGGACGGAUCGACCCGGCCACGACAACUGUCCGUGAAAAGACCUCGACACACUUUACUCUCAACGGAAGACCGCGACCGAUCGACUCAUUCGCUCACUCUCUCCCGUUCUUCCUCCUUCUUUCUCCGAGGCGCCGCCGUCCCUGGUCACCUCAAGGGAAAGUGGUGCUCCUUCUACCACCUUCCACCGCCAAUCUGAUACUCCGCCUUUCGAUGACGAUUCGUCACCACGACGCGCUGGAAUGUUCCCGCGGAACGGCGAGUCUUCUCUCGGAUGAUGCGUGAACAUUGUGGAUCCGUUCGCGAGAUCCGCGUAUCUUCGUUCCUGGAGAAAGGAAGUGAGCCAAGCGAGCCAAGAGCUGUAAUAUUUUCUAAAUUUAUUCAUGUUACUGCGACAGUUGUCGUUACAUCAAGUUUCCUUUUGCGUUUCGCUGUAUAAAGUAGGCGUAGCGCUACCGCAUUAUUUAACACGUACAAUUUGUCUUCCGCGAUCCCGGAAUCCAAUAUGCAGAUCCCAAUCAUGCUCCAAUUUAAAAAAAGAGAAUGAUUUUCUUCGAAGAAUACAAGAAAAUUAUGCGA